rnacentral:rRNA from 1 species
AUCAACUUUCGAUGGUAGGAUAGAGGCCUACCAUGGUGGUAACGGGUAACGGGGUGUUAGGGCACGACACCGGAGAGGGAGCCUGAGAAACGGCUACCACAUCCAAGGAUGGCAGCAGGCGCGCAAAUUACCCAAUCCCGACACGGGGAGGUAGUGACAAUAAAUAACAAUACGGGGUCCUUUCGGGUUUCGUAAUUGGAAUGAGUACAAUUUAAAUCUCUUAACGAGGAACAAUUGGAGGGCAAGUCUGGUGCCAGCAGCCGCGGUAAUUCCAGCUCCAAUAGCGUAUAUUAAAGUUGUUGCAGUUAAAAAGCUCGUAGUUGAAUUUCGGAAUCAGUACGCUGGUCGUGCCUCGGUAUGAACUGGUGUCACUGGUUCCUCCCUUCUGAAGAACCAUCAUGCCAUUCACUUGGUGUGGUGGGAAAUCAGGACUGUUACUUUGAAAAAAUUAGAGUGUUUAAAGCAGGCUCACGCUUGAAUACAUUAGCAUGGAAUAAUGAAAUAGGACGUUGAUCUUAUUUUGUUGGUUUCUAGGAUUGACGUAAUGAUUAAUAGGGAUAGUUGGGGGCAUUAGUAUUCAAUUGUCAGAGGUGAAAUUCUUGGAUUUAUUGAAGACUAACUACUGCGAAAGCAUUUGCCAAGGAUGUUUUCAUUAAUCAAGAACGAAAGUUAGGGGAUCGAAGACGAUCAGAUACCGUCGUAGUCUUAACCAUAAACUAUGCCGACUAGGGAUCGGAUGAUGUUAUUUUUUUAUGACUCAUUCGGCGCCUUACGGGAAACCAAAGUGUUUGGGUUC